rnacentral:tRNA from 1 species
GCCUCCUUAGCUCAGCUGGUAGAGCAACUGACUUGUAAUCAGUAGGUCAUUGGUUCGACUCCGAUAGGAGGCU